rnacentral:lncRNA from 1 species
UUUUUCAAUGUCUCUAACUUUUGCCUGGAUCGCCCUUUCGGGUUUUCAAUCCACCGAGACGCUCCUUUUUGCCUAAGUCGCCCUUUCGAGGGUUCAACUUAGCGAGCUAUUCUGCUUUUUGGGCGAAGUAUUUCUUGACUGCAUCUGAAUUCACAGGACGAGUGAAAUCCUCCCCAUCCAUUGUUGUAAGUGUCAAAGCACUGCCUGAAAAGGCUCUCUUGACAACAUAUG